rnacentral:rRNA from 1 species
UACGUAGGGUGCAGGCGUUAAUCGGAAUUACUGGGCGUAAAGCGUGCGCAGGCGGUUUGCUAAGACAGGUGUGAAAUCCCCGGGCUUAACCUGGGAACUGCGCUUGUUACUGGCAGGCUAGAGUGUGGCAGAGGGGGGUAGAAUUCCAGGUGUAGCAGUGAAAUGCGUAGAUAUCUGGAGGAAUACCGAUGGCGAAGGCAGCCCCCUGGGUUAACACUGACGCUCAUGCACGAAAGCGUGGGGAGCAAACAGG